GAUGAAGAACGUAGCGAAAUGCGAUAAGUAGUGUGAAUUGCAGAAUUCCGUGAAUCAUCGAAUCUUUGAACGCACAUUGCGCCUCCUGGUAGUCCGGGAGGCAUGCCUGUUCGAGCGUCACCAAAUCCAACUCAAGCGGUUUUGCGCUUGGUCGUGGCGGAAGAGUCGGUCUGGUUGCCGUCUCCCCUCCGAAAAUCAACGGCGGAAAGUCACUGGCAGUCAGCGUAGUAGUAUCGUUCGCCGAACAUCCAGUGGCAUUCCUGCCGACGUACCCCCACAAUUCUCGUGAUUGACCUCGGAUCAGGUAGGGAUACCCGCUGAACUUAAGCAUUCAAUAGCGGAGGA
rnacentral:misc_RNA from 1 species